rnacentral:rRNA from 1 species
GAAUUCCCGUUGAUCCUGCGGGCGAUUGCUGCUAUUGGGAUUCGACUAAGCCAUGCAUGUCUAGGGUAGCAAUACACUGGCAAAAGGCUCAGUAACACGUCGAUAAUCUUCCCUGAGGUCAUGGAUAACCAUGGGAAACUGUGGCUAAACCGUGAUAGAGAAAAGAAUCUGGAACGAUCUUUUCUCGAAACUCGUGCCUCAGGAUGAGUUGGCGGCGGAUUAGGUUGUUGGUCGAGGUAAAGGCUCACCAAGCCCAUGAUCCGUAGGGGCCCUGAGAGGGGUAGCCCCGAGAAGGUCACUGAGACACUGGACCUAGCCCCACGGGGUGCAGCAGGCGCGGAACCUUUACAAUGCACGCAAGUGUGAUAAGGGGAUCCCAAGUGCUUAUGUUUUACAUAGGCUUUUGUGAAGGGUAAAAACCUUGACGAAUAAGUGGUGGGAAAGACUGGUGCCAGCAGCCGCGGUAACACCAGCGCCACAAGUGGCAAUCGACAUUAUUGGGCCUAAAGCGUCCGUA